rnacentral:rRNA from 1 species
GGAGGGAGCUAGCGUUGUUCGGAAUUACUGGGGGGCGUAAAGGGGCGCGUAGGGCGGGCCGAUCCAGUCAGGCGUGAAAGCCCCGGGCUCAACCUGGGAAUUGCGUUUGAUACUGAUUGGCUGGAGUCCGGGAGAGGGUAGUGGAAUUCCCAGUGUAGAGGUAAAAUUCGUAGAUAUUGGGAAGAACACCGGUGGCGAAGGCGGCUACCUGGUCCGGUACUGACGCUGAGGCGCGAAAGCGUGGGGAGCAAACAGGAUUAGAUACCCUGGUAGUCCACGCCGUAAACGAUGUGUGCUAGACGUCGGGGGGCUUAGCCCCUCGGUGUCGCCGCUAACGCAUUAAGCACACCGCCUGGGGAGUACGGCCGCAAGGUUA